UCAAAUGGUAACAGCCUCUGUUGGGUUGGCGUGGGCUGCUGGGAUGAUUGCUCUCGUUUGUAAAUUGUCUUAACAUCAAAAGUCAAAUGUUUUUGAAUAGCCAGGCUGGCACACAACUGAUAAUCAAGGUCUGCAAGGCAAACGUUUUUCACCUUUGUUUAAUUAAAAAAGUGCAAUUUCGGCAAGAUUGGUCAACAGCUCCACCCUGGAUACCUGCUAUUACGCGAAGGCAUUACAGAGAUGCCAUCAUCCAUCAGAAGCGACAGCCCUGCACACACAGGAGAUACGGCUGCUGUUGUGCUCUUGAGCUGGAAAAGUCUUUUAGGUUCUCGGUUUCUCUCAUGUCACAGCAGCCUUCAAAGUGACUCCCCGUCAAAAAUAUCCUGCUCGAGACAAGACCCAAAAACCCUCCUGUGACGGAUAGAUGAAGAUGAAUUCCAAUCAAAUGAGCCAGAAAGACAGAAGAGAUGCUCAGAAAGAGGCUUUUGGGUAAAAGUACGGGAUUAUUUAUGGAUGGGAGCCCAGAGAGACGCAGCAGAGCUCUGUCUGUGAAACAAGCACGGGGAUCUCAGACAACGUGUGAAAAUAUGUCACUUUUGUGAAGUCCUCAUCUUUAAUGUAAUGGGUUAUUUAUCAGUCAGGGAACUGAAAUGAAAGAGACCUCUUCUAUUUCUGAUUGAUAUCCUGUUAUCGUACAUGAAUGCUCAGACGACAAGGUCAUACACCUGGAGGAUUUAAAGGCUGGGCAUCACCCUGGCUGCCCUUACUUCUAGGCACUACUUCAUCAGUAUAACAUUAACUGGGGGCAAAGCCUCAUAUACUGUAUAUGGUAUAAACACUCAAUGAAGCUUUACAGUUAAUGCAUGGCUGUAGUGUAACAAUGGCGAAGUGGCAUCCUGUUUUCCUUCAACUUCAAGUUCAAGGGGAUUUUAUUUUACUUCUUUAACCAAUUACAGUCUUCAUUGUAUGACAUCACCACAUACAUUACAACCAGUGUUUUCUGUUAAGCGGCACAGAUUUGUAAAGUAUCCAUUUAACUGUAUAUGCCUUGUUAAGGGACAUGCCAUAGAUACAAAACAUAUGAAUAUGCUUACCUGCAAAGGCUGUAUGGAGCAAUAUAGGAACAUGUCAUUAAUUUGUGAUGACAAUAAUAAUAAUAAUAAUAACAAUAAGCUGGAGGUUAAGGACCUUGCUCAAGGGCUCACGGACAUGUAUGCUCUGCUGAGGCCAGGCUCGAGCCAGAGGCCUUCAAAUCACAACUCCAGAGGCUUAGCUCGCUGAGCCACUCACCUUGAACAUCGUUUCAAAAUGAGGAAAAAUGGUUCAAUGUGUUGAUGUCAUACAAUAAAGACUGUGAUUGGUUAAUGAUGUGAAAUGCAAGCCCCUCCCUUUUUGGCCCAGGGAUGUGUUGGACUCGGGAAAAUCAGUAUGUCUGUGGUGAAACACCUUGCAUUGCUGCUUGUCCUGUGCAGUGUCACGCUCAGCUUGGAUACCAUCCAUUGAAGGUCACGAAACAGUGAAACACCCUGAACAAAACACCACUCCAUCACAGUGCACUUCAGAGACACUAGUACAUCUAUUUAUUGUCCAGCCCUUAAUGCUGGUCAAUGUAACUUAAUAUGUAACUUAACAUUUCCAAAUUUGUGCUAUUUCACUUUGUUUGAAAAGCCACAAAAAUUCUGGUAGCAUCAUUUAUUGUGUGCCUGCUGUCCAAAUAUGAUAUUUAGGUAUCGAAUAAAUACUUGUACAAAUAAAUGUUCUAUGAUGACUGAGCAAUCUAAGAAAUACUGAAAUAUUUCCUAAAAACAGGGUGAUGUAUAAAUGGAAAAAUCAGCUAGCAAUAUAACACAACACCUUAAGCACUUGUCAGUAAGGUUUUUUAAUCAGUGUGAGUAGAUGGAGAGUAAAUGUCCAGUUUCUCUCUGGAGGGAGUGUUAGGUCACCAUGACUACCGAGGGUGAUUUAGUUCAUCUACCUCUCACUCCCUGCAGGUGUAAUAAAUUGGCAUGCUCUAAGUCAGACCCAAGUGUUGAUGCCUGUCACAGCAAUGCGCUCCAUUUUCCACCACAAAAUUGCCAACAUUAUCUUGGUCCAUCCCCCCACCAUUUUGGAUGUAGGGUGGUGAUUGUCCCACCUCUGCCCUGAUCCUGUCAGUCCCUGAAAAUAGGAAAUCCCUGAUAAGCGUCUGCUUUCUGGCCAGAUUCCCAUGACUGUGACCCAAGUGCUCUCAGAACUCUGUCUCAGAACAGUCUCUGUGAACAGUUGUAAAACAGUCCAUCCAGGACCGAUAACAGGGGUGAUUUUAGGUGAUUUUUUUUUUAAGAUGGGGGGCAUAAGAGAGGGCAUAAUUCAUACAGGGCCAACCUCAUCAUUAGCCAAUGGUAGUCAAUGAGAGAAGGGGACAUUCCAGAGGCCAAUCAGCUGCGGUCAGUAUCCUUGUGGCCCCACCCUCAUACAGUAUAUGGCCCUUAUUGCUAUCUCAUUGCAUCCGCACCUCUUCACUGUAGGCAAUGAAAAUAAUGAGCAAUAAAGGGAUGACCUGACUGCCCUUUUUUAAUGGCAUUAUUUAUUAAAAGGGGUGAUGGUGA